rnacentral:rRNA from 1 species
UACGUAGGCAGCAAGCGUUGUUCGGAGUUACUGGGCGUAAAGGGUGCGUAGGCGGCCCUGUAAGUAUGGUGUGAAAUCUCCCGGCUUAACUGGGAGGGUGCGCUAUAGACUGCGGGGCUCGAGUGUGGGAGAGGAAAGUGGAAUUCCUGGUGUAGCGGUGAAAUGCGUAGAGAUCUGGAGGAACACCGAUGGCGAAGGCAGCCUUCUGGGCCAACACUGACGCUCAUGCACGAAGCGUGGGGAUCAAACAGG